GACGUAGGGCGCGAGCGUUGUCCGGAUUUAUUGGGCGUAAAGAGCUCGUAGGCGGCUUGUUGCGUCGACUGUGAAAACCCGCGGCUUAACUGCGGGCUUGCAGUUGAUACGGGCAGGCUAGAGUUCGGUAGGGGAGACUGGAAUUCCUGGUGUAGCGGUGAAAUGCGCAGAUAUCAGGAGGAACACCGGUGGCGAAGGCGGGUCUCUGGGCCGAAACUGACGCUGAGGAGCGAAAGCGUGGGGAGCGAACAGG
rnacentral:rRNA from 1 species